rnacentral:lncRNA from 1 species
UUAUUAUAAUUCUUAACUAAUUGACCACUUGUUGGGUUCAAUCUAUUUUGUGUUGGCCCCCCAACAGCCUCACCACAUUAUGCAAUAAAUAACUCUCUAGUAUGUCUAUCUCUUAAAUGUCUCAUCAACGAACCCGUACCCCCUUUAUUGCCUCCGGUUUUAUGCUCAUGUAUAACUUCAUAAAUAUUGUAUUGCACCUUACUUUAUCCU